UACGGAGGGUGCAAGCGUUAUCCGGAUUUACUGGGUUUAAAGGGUGCGUAGGCGGCUUUGUAAGUCAGUGGUGAAAUAUGGCAGCUCAACUGUCAGGGUGCCAUUGAUACUGCGGAGCUUGAGUACAGAUGAGGUAGGCGGAAUUGACGGUGUAGCGGUGAAAUGCUUAGAUAUCGUCAAGAACACCGAUAGCGAAGGCAGCUUACUAGGCUGUAACUGACGCUGAGGCACGAAAGUGUGGGGAUCAAACAGG
rnacentral:rRNA from 1 species